rnacentral:snRNA from 1 species
AUGACAUCAAGUCAUAUUUGACU